GGUGGGUGCGUGGGUGG
rnacentral:miRNA from 1 species